UACAGAGGGUGCAAGCGUUAAUCGGAAUUACUGGGCGUAAAGCGUGCGUAGGCGGCCUGCUAAGUCGAACGUGAAAUCCCCGGGCUCAACCCGGGAACUGCGUCCGAUACUGGCAGGCUUGAAUCCGGGAGAGGGAUGUGGAAUUCCAGGUGUAGCGGUGAAAUGCGUAGAUAUCUGGAGGAACACCGGUGGCGAAGGCGGCAUCCUGGACCGGUAUUGACGCUGAUGCGCGAAAGCCAGGGGAGCAAACGGG
rnacentral:rRNA from 1 species